rnacentral:rRNA from 1 species
UACGGAGGGUGCAAGCGUUGUUCGGAAUUAUUGGGCGUAAAGGGCAGGUAGGUGGUCUUGAAAGUCUACUGUGAAAUCCCCGGGCUUAACCUGGGAAGUGCGGUAGAUACUCCAAGACUAGAGUGCUGGAGGGGUUUGUGGAAUUCCCGGUGUAGAGGUGAAAUUCGUAGAUAUUCGCAAGAACACCAGUGGCGAAGGCGGCUCACUGGCCCGAUACUGACGCUGAGGCACGAAAGCGUGGGGAGCAAACAGG